rnacentral:pre_miRNA from 1 species
UUUUUAGUAUAAAUAUAAUUUAUGCAAUACUUGGAUCAUACUUAUACUAAGA